UCUUAUUCCAACAUUAAUUGGCAUCAAGGGACUCCGGACAACCGGGGAAGGGGGGAGACUGAAUCUCAUGCACUUUGACUGGCUACACACGUGCUACAAUGACAGAACAAAGGGCGCGAACCGCGAGGUAAGCCAAUCCCACAAAUCUGUCUCAGUUCGGAUCGCAGUCUGCAACUCGACUGCGUGAAGCUGGAAUCGCUAGUAAUCGCGAGCAGCAGCC
rnacentral:rRNA from 1 species